rnacentral:rRNA from 1 species
UACGUAGGGGGCAAGCGUUGUCCGGAUUUAUUGGGCGUAAAGAACGUGUAGGCGGCCAUGUAGGUCCGUUGUGAAAACUCGAGGCUCAACCUCGAGACGCCGAUGGAAACCAUGUGGCUAGAGUCCGGAAGAGGAGAGUGGAAUUCCUGGUGUAGCGGUGAAAUGCGCAGAUAUCGGGAAGAACACCCGUGGCGAAAGCGGCUCUCUGGGACGGUACUGACGCUGAGACGCGAAAGCGUGGGGAGCGAACAGG